UCCAAUCACUACUUGAGUUUUCGUUCUUUCCCCAUGAUCCUGGUUCAGCCACACCUUUACCUUUAUCCCAUGCACCAGAUGAUCCCUCAGUGACAUUCUUUCCAUUAUCCCAACUUUCUGAUUUUUUCCAACCAUCAUUACCAACAUUAAUUCUUGUAUCUUUCUCCCAUGCAGUGAUAUUUGAAGAAUCAGCAAGAUUUCCGGUUUCAAGCUUUGAUUGACCCCAGCUGCCUCCAACAUCUUUUGAAGCACCCGAUGGAUCUCCACUAGAGGUAGCUUUACCCCAAGCAUCAGAUGCA
rnacentral:lncRNA from 1 species